UACGAAGGGGGCUAGCGUUGCUCGGAAUCACUGGGCGUAAAGCGCACGUAGGCGGAUUGCUAAGUCAGGGGUGAAAUCCUGGAGCUCAACUCCAGAACUGCCUUUGAUACUGAAGAUCUUGAGUUCGGGAGAGGUGAGUGGAACUGCGAGUGUAGAGGUGAAAUUCGUAGAUAUUCGCAAGAACACCAGUGGCGAAGGCGGCUCACUGGCCCGGUACUGACGCUGAGGCGCGAAAGCGUGGGGAGCAAACAGG
rnacentral:rRNA from 1 species